AAAGUCGGGAUAUUGAAUGUUAAAGGGAGAGAGUUGGGUGAUAUGAUGGAGUGGAGAAAUGUAGAUAUACUGUGUGUACAAGAUACUAAGUGGAAGUGA